AUGUCACACUCCCCCUCAGUUUCUCUCCUCUUUCUGUCACCCCCAAGUGACCUUAAACAAGCAGUCCCGAAGUCCAGGCCAGUCGUACCUGGGAAGGCCUGGCCCCCCGGAGCCCUGGCAGCGGCUCUCCCCAGCUCUGCUCUUCUCCUGUCCCACCCCUACACACCCUUGCAGGAAACUGAGGACCCCAAAGCCCUCGUUCCUCAAGGAGUUGCAACACCGGAAGGAGAAGGAGGGCCUGUAUGUGGUGACAGAGGCCGUGGAGACUACACAGGACACCAUGCUUCAGAGCCUCAACGAUGCCAAGGGAUCAGGACAGCUGGCCUUCCUUGGGCCAGGCCACUUAAAGCUCCAGGGUCAGAGCCACAUGGCCAAAGAGAAGACAGUGACCAUCCCCCAGGGCACUGUCCUGGCCUAUAGGGUGCUGCAGCUGGUGAUCAAAGAGGACUGCUGGGGUAAGUGGAGGCUAGAGGUGGAGGAACAGCAGCAGGACUCUCCCUCUGGGAGGGGUGGCAGAGGGGUAGGGGCCACUUGCAAGAAUGGAGCAGGAAGAGGAUGAGGGAAGCUAUUUCCUGGGGGCCUGAGCACUCAGCCAGCCAACUCUACCUUCUGGCAGCUACUAAGAGGAUCUGAUGUGCAGAGAGGGCCCUGACAUCAGCUGUCCAGGAGGGUUUACAACCCAGUCUGCACCCCACUUGGCCCAGAGGGGAGCUGCAUUUGAUGGGAGGAAGGGCUAUUACAUCUAACUAGCACAGAGAAUCAUGUGGACUGGAUGGUCCUACCCAUCCUUGGCCUAGGGGUGACAGUAGGAAGCUGGGGGUUCGCUCUCCCAUCAAUGCUGCAGCCCAGAGGCAGGCUGGGGACUGAGCCCCGGGUGGGACAGCUCGGAUUCUCAGAUCUGGCCAGCUGAAUCUGAAUCUGCAGGGUUGACUUUGGGUGGGCAGAAGAGGAGGAUCCAGCCACCCUUGUCCUCACGAAAAGAGCAUGAGCUUGAGUCCAGUGCACUGAGGUUUGAGUGGUGGCUUUGCCCUUUGCCCUCUGUGUGACCCUGGAGACGUCACCAAAUGACUCAAACUUCAGCAGCCUCAUCUGUAAACGGGCUCAUGCUGACAGCCCACAGGGUGCCGUGAGGCCACAGGAGAUCAAGCUGUGAUGUCCCUGGCCAGCACACUGUAGGAGCCCCAUAACUGCUAACUGCCUUCCUCUCAGGCACUUUCCUCUUUUGUCCUACCUGUGCUUCCACACAGCUAUUCUGUACCUGCCUGAAGGAAAGCUCAGUCGAGACAUUAGUGCAGGUGAGUAGCCCUGCCCAGGGCCUGGAACCCAACCACAAAUCAUCCCUUCCCACAGAGAAUGCCCUAACACUGUUCUUGGGGUCCCUUCCCUCCACCAUGCCAUCACCCCAUGUCACCCCAUGUCACUCUAGGGGCAGGGAGGGCUGUCUUCUAACUGAAGCAUGGGCCCUGAACAGGUUGGAGUAGGGAGGGCAAGGUGGAGAAGGAGGAAGGAGAGUGAGGUGCAGAAAAUAGGGAAAGGCAAGGAUAAGAUCCAUGACUGCUACCUAGUAUGUGGUGGGUACUCAAUAAAUGCUUAUAGGAAGGAGGGAGGGAAAGUAGG
rnacentral:lncRNA from 12 species